CUGCCUUUUGUGGUCAAUUACGAUAAAAUCAAAGCGAUGACUCGGGGAGCUGAUGAGAAUCUGGCCUUCAUUUUUCACUUGCUGAUCUGAAACUGUGAUUGACAGAGAAGGGUGGAGAUAUCAGUGCUGAUUGCUAGAACACAGCCCUAAAGGAUAGAGGUUCCAAUCACUGGACUCAGGCUUGGUGAACUUGCUGGCACUAACAACUCCUGACAACGGAGGAGGCCCAGGAUUUGAAGUCCCCUGCUCACCCCACCCCCUACGCCAUUAUUCUCACCAAACCCACGAUGACACUGUAGUGGCUGCUGAACUCUCGGGCAGAAUCCUUCCCUGGCAUUAGAAGCAGAGUGGUUCUAUGCAGCCUGCGGAGGACAGGCUGAUCUGAACAUCUGUGAACCCCCAGAUCCUAAGACUCUGGAUGUUUCUGGAUGUACAUUCAUGGGAACCAACGAGAUCAGCUUCUAAGGGCCAGAUAGUGUGGCACAUGGAGUACACGUGAGGAUCUGUGGAUGGGACACCUGCAAACAUCAAGGCUUGUAUGCUCAGUCUGCAUGGUUCACAUGCCCAGCCCAACCUCCAAGGCACAAGCCAGUCCAGGAAGCUUCAAUAAAG